CAAAAACACACACAGUUGUUCGCUUACUUUACAGUCGAAACAUAUAUCGUGUGUAAAACUUAAAUCUGGCAUUGCUGAUAUUCUUCGAGCUGCCGUAUUAACAUAAGGCUCAAACGGCUAAUUGAUUGAAAUGGUUGCGAUUUGAUUUUGAUUUGUUUCUGAAACGCAGCAAAGCAACGGAAAACACAUGGCAUAGAAGAGAGUGGCGCUCUCUUGAGCGCUCUGAGAGCACAAGAGCGCAAUGAGCGCGUGGCAAACACAUGGUUUUUGUUGUUGCCAAAACGUAGAAGUAGCGAAAGAAGAAGAAGCAGCGCUUACAGUUACCUCGCGUUGUUGUUCUUGCACAGUGGCACAUUUUAAAGAAACAAACGCAAGCGUUAAUAAUAUUAUAAUAUGUUAUAACUUUAUGGAACUACACAAUAAAACUGCUUUGAAUUGUAAAAUUAGGUAAUGUAUGUAUACAUUAUUAUAUUUGCUAGUAAUGAUGAAACCAAAGAUAGAUAUUCAUGCAGAGUAUAGCAAAUUUUUGGCUCACAGUGCCCUCUUAUUUAUUAUCGACAAAAGGUAUUCGUCGCAUUUACAUAAAUUCUACACACUGUAUUAAACCGCUUCUGUGUGGGUGAACAUAUGUCACACGCAGCGGCGAAAAAGUCAAUCACACUCGCGUUUUCUCUCUCUUUAUCUCUCAGAAUUUGUUGUUAUUGUUCUUAUCGGUCCCCACCCGCGCGCAAAUAACAAAAAUACAAUGUAUCGGCAUUUACUAGGUGAGAACGAGUGAAAGAGAGAUAGGGAUGCCGUUAUUGUUUUUACGCUGCGUGCGUAUUUGUCUUGUAUUUUAAAAUCGCUCUAGUUUUGGUAACUCUCUUCGCAUUUUGUUCUAUUAAUGAAAAUUGUAAUGCGAACGUGUUAAUUAGAGAAUGAAAAACGGUGAGAGAGCUGAACGAAACAAACAAAGCAAGCUAAAGAAAGUCAGAAAGACGAUAAGCAACAUAAAGAAAGAAGGCAUGUUCUUAUCGUUUGGUUUGUCAUCAAAAAAAUAUACAAAAUUUUGAUGAUUGCCUAGAACAACACAAGCGCACAGAGAAAGAGAGAGAAAAGAUCUCUCGUAACUCCAAUAGGAAUUGUUUUCCCAAUUUUCCGGCCGGUUUAUUCGCCUCCAACAAACCGAUUUUUCCAACAACGUGGCUUUGGCCAAAAAUACGCAAAAGAGAUAGAUAGAGAAAAGAGCGAAUUUAACGAAAACGAAAAACGUGUGUGUUGGAAAAUAGAACACUCACACACAGAAAAACAAAGCAGAAGCUCGUGUAGAAGCAGCUGAAAAAUAUGGUUGUCAUACCGAUUUUUUUAAAGUCUUCUUAUACAAUAGGCAACAUUCAAAGUUAAUUAUUUACAUACAUACAUGUAGAUUUGUACAAUUAAUAAUUCAUAUUAACAUUUUUGAUCACUUCCUAAUAAUACCUACGUAUGUACCUAUGUUGUAAUAGUAAGACAACAUUUAUAUAUAGAAUUGGUCUACUUUUCUUGAAAUAUGACAACCCUAGAGAAAAACUAACAAACAAAAAUUAUGUGGGACAAACGCGCAUAAACAAACUCUCUCGCAAAGAUGUGAGUGAAGAGACGCUAGAGAGCGGCCCCAAUUGUUUACUCACAACUUUUUUACGCGACGCCACUGUGUUUGUGUCGCUCUCUUUGGCUCUCCCAUUUGAUUUGCCAUGCGGUUAUCGUUGUGGUACAGUGGAAACUGCUUUAAUUGGAAAUAAAUGAAUAUAAAAUUAUGUAAUAAUUGUAAUAUAUAUAAGCUAAUAAAAACUAACCUAUAACAGUAAGUUAAUUAAAUCAUUGAACAUUUAAUAUUUAAGCUACAAUAAGUUUCGCACCUAAUUGCUUAUUUGGAGGCCGUACUGUAGUUGUUGUCGCCUGGUCUAUAUACACGAUCUCACAUAAAUAGUUAUACAACUCGCUCUGGGGGCCAAAUACCAAUGGGCAAGUGAAAUUGCAGUGCGAAGGAAUUUCAAAAAACCAGUUAGAACCAUGGCAACGUUAAUGGGGGGCUUACAUUACCAACCCGCCCCUGCGCACCAACAAAACAACGCUUAAAACGGCGAAAAAACAAAAACAGUUAAACAGGUGCAAAAAAAGCACAACAAGCCGGAGUCAAAAGAGAGCUAAAAGAGAGCGGAAAAGCUUAGAAAGAGCAUGCUUUAGAGUGACCAUAGUUACCAAACUCGUCGGACCUAACAACAACACGUGAUUUAACAAUAUAGUUGUAUCACACAUUCCUUACCCUAUAAAAUUUUAUAACAAAAGAAUGAAGGUAAACUUUGACGUCACUAUGCGCAUGUUGUUGCUGUGCAGCGCAAACGACGACGACAGCGACAAAUGUGUAGAUCAACAGAUCAGUCACUCAAAAAGCGAAACUAAAAAGUAACCAAAUAAAAAAAUGAAACAAAACAAAAAGAACGUUUCGAAAAAGACAUUUUCCACCGAACAAACACACACACGCACACACAUACAAGCCGCAGGUAUACUACAUAUCUGUAUCUGAGUGUGGAGUAUGUUUGUAUAAUCAUGUGAUACCAAAAUAAAGAAAAAUGUGAAAAUCAAAUAGCAGCGACAGCGGCCAGGGCACUAAAAGUCACAAGCAAAAGUGGAGCAAUAAAGCAAACAAACCCGACAAAUUUUCUGUUGCCAUGUACAACCCCAGACCACAACAGCACCAUCCCCAUCCCCAUCGCCAUCGCCAUACGCAUCCGCACUCCCACGAAACCAUCCCAUCAAAACCGAACGAUCAAACCAUCUUCAUCAUCGCCACUAUCACCAUCAACCCGUCCAAUGUCGCAUGUAGUUUCGAAUCGGACUCGAAAUAUGCAAAUGCCGAGCACCGAAAUUGAAUGCAAUUAAAAGACACACACAAUAUCACACACAGUUCACAUAGGAAUCGUAUUGAAGAUAUCAGCUACAGUAUCUGUAACGUCUAUACCUUCUGGUUGGAUAUGUCUUUAAGACACUUUUGACCUUGAGUGGAAAAAUCCCAAUGUGUAGUUGGUAAUCCUACCUAACAAACAUUUUGCAAUGGUAAUCAUAAAACAUAACCCUUCUCGAAAUAAGACCUUUAUAAACAAUUAAAAAAGCGAAGUUAUCAUUAUGUCUGCCUAAAUGUUCCGAAGCUGUGAAUGGUGCCGGCGGCUGUAUUAAAUUUCAAUGAAGUGAAAACAAAGCGAUCAAAUGCGCGGCACUGCAUAGAGAAAUACACACAAUUAAAGAUACAGAAAAGCGAAAAUCCAAAGGCAUUAACAAAAACAUUUUUAGCAGCCAGAGGUGUAGAGAUGUGGAUCCGAAUCGGUGGCUAUAUAGCCCCAAAAUGUUGUUGAUGGGACGCCAAAGAAAAAUGUAGCUCAUGCGGUGCACAGUGACACAAGGCUUCCAAAAAAUGGCAUAUAAAUGUGGAAAAGUAGAACUACAUUCGAAUUAAUGUUAUGUAUCUGGCUUAUAAAUAGAUUUUCCCAGAUCUUCAGAUCUAUCUAAAGAUUGCGCUUUCAAUAUAUUCAUUUGGCAUAUUUAGCCUACCUGAGGUCUAUGCAUGUAAUCUGUAGUUUUCUGGAUUUCUUAUAUGUGCGUAUUUUGGAUAAUUAGAAUUUCAAAUCUGCGUACCUUUCCCAUUUGCAUAUCCACAGUAUCCAUUGAUUGAUCGGCAAGCAUAUGCACAUUAGUAAUUGUUUUAUCCCAUUGCCAUUUGCAUUUUCGUUCCACGGUGCCUCUUCAUCGUCUUCUUUUGUCCCUUCUGCUCUUCCCUCUGUUUGCCUUAUUGUCUAGCUGAGGUCGUUGAAAAGCGUUGAUGGGCAGGGGGAGUGGCGGCGGGACGGUGGGUGGCGGGCGGUUGGACGCAUUUAGCCAUGUUUAAUAUUUUGUUGCAUUAAGCACGCUCUCUCGCUCUCUCUCGUCUUUCUUCGCAUAAAGAGCGCGUAAAAAUAGGCGGAAAAUUGCAUAGAAGUCAACGAUUUCCCCCAUCCACUCGUGUUCGUUAAUCUUUGUUUAUUUUUAUGGCAUUUAUCUUAGACGCUUUUUGGUGCUGACUUGUCGUUUUCUUUUCAUCGUUUAGUUUUAUUCAACUUAUUGGUUUAAUUUUGGUUGUAAAUUUGGAUAUUGGGCAUUUUGUUGUUAAGUUUACUUGCUUUUGAUUUCAAAGCGUCAUUUUGUGUUUUAAAUUUUGCUUUACUUAAUUUGCUGUAAAGUUAAUUUAUAGUUUUACUGUUUGUGUUUUAGAUAAGUCAUUGUUCUUACAUUCUGAAUGGUAACAUUUUAUUUUAUUGUUAUUCUUAUUAUUGUUUCUUAAAAAUGUCAAGCAAAUGACUACCUCCAUCUCGCUUGCCCGCACUGUAUUUGUUGUUUUAGUUUCUUGUUAUUGUUGCUCUUGAUAAAUGUCAAACAAAUAACGGCAGCCUUCUUCUUAUUCUCUCUUCUUUGCUCUUUCUCGCUCUUCGAGUGGCGUUCUCUCUCACUUUUGUCGCUUACUCUCUCUCUUUCUCGUUGGUCCUGUAUAGCACCAUCCCACUCGCACCUAGCCCCACUUUGUUUUGACGCAAAAUGAUCCCGUUUACAUUACAUUUGCCUUUGAUUUUGCGUCUUCGUUUUUGCCUAUCUUCUUUUCUUGUAUUCGUUUCUUUACUUUGAACCCUCCCCAGUUAUUGCUGGAUUUUUUUGUUGAUCAAAUACGCAUUUGAAAAUACCUAUACAAUAAAUUGUAUAAAAACAAUUUUACUAUUUUUAAAGUUACUUAAUCGUCAUAUUUUUAAUAAACGUGCUGCCACAAUUAGUAACUUGGGACCAAGAAACUAAGCUAAAUAAAUACCAUAAGCAAAAAAUAAAAAAAAUCAUAUCGCUAUCUGGAAAAUUUUCUCAUAAAUAUGUAUGAGCAAAUAAAGCGCGUUCCUCUCUUAAUAUAAUCAGCAUUUCGAGCUCAUUUACAAGCAUGAAUUUAAUACAACAGCAAAGUCAAAAAAGUGAAAAAAGACAACAAAAGCAGAACAAAUAGACAAAAAAAUGCGAGCACUCACAAUAACAUGAUAAUUUGCCGAAGGCCAAAUAAAACUCUUUUGGUGGUAAAUGCAAGACUGCCUUAAGGUAGUCUGAUUUAAUUUGUUUGCCAAGUUGGGACCAAGUUCGUAGUUGCUCGAAUUUACUUAUGUAUUUAGUGUCUGAAAAUUAAAAGGAACAAAUGGAAAUUGAUUAAAAAAAAUAUUUUGAACGGCGCGCCAAUUCAGUGCUACCCAUGAAGACAAUAUAAGUAUGGGCAGCAUUGGCCGUCGAUAAUCUUUUUAAAUGCUCGAUGUAACGGUUUCGUAUGUGGUAUCUUAAGUCAUAGAUGGCGCUCACUGUAACGGUUUCUUAUAUGCUAACUUAAGCCAUAGAUGGCGCCACAUGUUUCGGUUUUGGGUAAUUUCUGAAUUACAAAAACUAAUUUUUCUGUAAUU